UACGACUACAUAUCAGGCAUAUCAAUAAGCGGAGGAAAAGAAACUAACAAGGAUUCCCCUAGUAACGGCGAGUGAAGCGGGAAGAGCUCAAAUUUGAAAUCUUAAAGGAUUUCCCUUUACGAAUUGUAGUUUAAAGAAGUGUUUUCUGUUGGAGUUUCGGUAAAAGUUCUUUGGAAUAGGACAUCAUAGAGGGUGAGAAUCCCGUAUUUGACCGUUACUUUCCAGCUGUGUGAUACACUUUCAAAGAGUCGGAUUGUUUGGGAAUGCAGUCCAAAAUGGGUGGUAAAUUUCAUCUAAAGCUAAAUAUUGGCGAGAGACCGAUAGCGAACAAGUACCGUGAGGGAAAGAUGAAAAGAACUUUGAAAAGAGAGUUAAACAGUACGUGAAAUUGUCAAAAGGGACGCGUUUGACACCAGUGUUGUUUAGUUGAAAAUCAAUUCAAUAGUUUUUGAUUCUAAGUAGUAUUGACUUCAUCAGCUUGCUGCUUUCUUCUCAGAAAUUAUUGAAUGCACUUUUCAGUUAACAAGUCAACAUCAAUUUCUUUUGUUGUAAAAGGGUAAGAGGAAGGUGGCUUGCGCUUCGGCUCAAGUGUUUAUAGCCUUUUAUCUCUGCAAUCGGAGAGAUUGAGGUCUGCAGCGUAGAUCCUUCGGGGUUAGAUACAUUGGUGCUAAGCUAUAGCCUUGUAUAGACAACUUGUUGACUAUGCUCAGUCAUGUAGCUUACUCGCUGAUGCUAUUUUACCUACGCUUAGGAUGUUGAGUAGCGACAUACGCAC
rnacentral:rRNA from 1 species